UGGGGAAUAUUGCACAAUGGGCGCAAGCCUGAUGCAGCGACGCCGCGUGAGGGAUGGAGGCCUUCGGGUUGUAAACCUCUUUCGCCAGUGAAGCAGGCCAUCUUCUUUGUGGGGUGGUUGACGGUAGCUGGAUAAGAAGCGCCGGCUAACUACGUGCCAGCAGCCACGGUAAUACGUAGGGCGCGAGCGUUGUCCGGAAUUAUUGGGCGUAAAGAGCUCGUAGGCGGCUGGUCGCGUCUGUCGUGAAAUCCCCUGGCUUAACUGGGGGCUUGCGGUGGGUACGGGCCGGCUUGAGUGCGGUAGGGGAGACUGGAAUUCCUGGUGUAGCGGUGGAAUGCGCAGAUAUCAGGAGGAACACCGGUGGCGAAGGCGGGUCUCUGGGCCGUUACUGACGCUGAGGAGCGAAAGCGUGGGGAGCGAACAGG
rnacentral:rRNA from 1 species